UCCGUGUUUACUAUUUUCACAGUGGGUGCUUGUGACAAACAACGGCUCUCGAAAGGGCGGCUAUAAACGAUACACAAAUUCAAACAAAUGUGUUGGUAACUCAAAGUGUUUUUCGGAGUUCUCCACAAUUUAACAGUCAGACUUUACGCUGAUUUGUCGAGUGUCGUCUACAUGUGUUUUUUCAGUUGUUGCAUUAAAGGAUUCGACAAAGAUUCACAUGGGUUCAUCAAAGCGACAACCGAAGAAUUCUACAAAGAAGUGAGCAGAGCAUCAGUCGAAGUCUUGCUUGAAGACAGACAGAAUGGCACAUUCAUUAUAAGACCGUCUACAAAUUCCAAUCUGGGCACAAUGUCUGUUAUCCAAGAUAAUAAAAUAUUUCAUCUGAGCAUAAGGAGAAGGGGAGACGGAUACAUAGCCCUUGGAAAUGAAAAAAGCAACGAGAAAUGUUUCAGUGACCUGGAUUCUUUAAUUGAUUAUUACAUUAGUAAUUAUUUGGUGUUAUAUUCGAAUGGAGAAACGACACUCACUUUAUUGAUACCUUUCAAAGAAAAUAAAAUCCUGUGACAUU